AGUGUUCUGCCUCGCUCGGUGUUACCGUGGUCCGGUGUCUUUCCUGCGGCCACUAAUCGGGCCGUUUCCCCGUUGGACGCAGAGAUGACGAAUGGUGACCUCAAGGCGCAGCGGGCCGUCCUGUGGUCGCGUCGGUUCUCUCUGCUGUACGCGAUGGGAGUGUGGACGGUGAUUGGGUAUUUAGUUUCCCAGUCAGUGCAUUUCAAGGAGAUACCACUGGAGGAGAAGAAGGAGCCUCCGCCUCAGCCGCCUCCCGAUCACAAUGAAUAUUCCAGAAGUGUUUGACAGGAGCAGAAGAUCAAGAAAACUGGAUUCAUAUUAACAGCAAAAACUAGUUCAUCUGAUUUUGUGCCAUAUUCUUUUCAUUUGCAUAACAAAAUGCUGUCACCUUUUAAUAAUAAUACUGGGAAAGACAAGUAAAUUAUAUUGAAAAAAAGAAGUACCACAGUGUCUAUAACUUUUAUUAAAGAGUUGCAUGAGAUCUAAUUUUGAAAUAACAGUAA